GCGACCAACGCUAACGAGUUGCCCUGACAACCAACCAACCUGUCUACCACGGCAGCUCUCGCUCUAAGCAACCCUCGAAAAAAGUCCAACUAUUAGUCAGUCAUGGACCAAUCAGAGGGUGGCUUACUGGAGAGAGAGAACCAAUCAMAGGUCGGCUUACUGGAGAGAUGAUACCAUACAUACCUCAGAACCCUACACGCUGUCCGGAACCCUACGCGCUGUCCAUAACCCUACGCGCUGUCCAUAACCCUACACGCUGUCCGGAACCCUACGCGCUGUCCGGAACCCUACGUGCUGUCCGGAACCCUGGGCGCUGUCCGGGAACCCUGGGCGCUGUCCGGAACCCUGGGCGCUGUCCGGAACCCUGGGCGCUGUCCGCAACACUGGGCGCUGUCAGAACCUGUAAGUCUCUCUUUUAUAAGGCUCUUGUGGAGGUUAGGUUCCAAGCCUUCACAGCCAAGUUGGCGUGUUACACUUGUACUAUAGUUGGGGCUUUUGGUACAUUUCGUAGCACCACCCUGGAGAGCCAAGGAUCAUGCUGCAGUGAUAACAGGACUUGAUCUGCGUCCCACCCUAUUCCCUAUGUCGUGCAAUAUAAAGGGAAAAUGGGGCCAUUUGGGACGCAGACCUGCUUUCUCAUAGACCCUUUCCCCAAUAGCUGUUCUCCAGUAGCCAGUCCCAGUCAGUGAGUAUGCUCAGUUGGUGUCAGCUGUUACCUUGGGAACAGGACUAAUGAGAAUGUACAGAUUCUAGAUUUGUGAGGCUGUGACAGGACCGGAACCAUGGCGUCCUGGGGGGUUGUGACAGGACCGGAACCAUGGAGCCCUGAGGGGUUGUGACAGGAACGUAACCAUGGAGCCCUAGGGGGUAUUAACAGGACAGUAACCAUGGAGCACUGCGGGGUUGUGACAGGACAGUUACCAUGGAGCCCUGGGGGGUUUUGACAGGGUAGUAACCAUGGAGCCCUGGGGGGUUGUGACAGGACAGUAACCAUGGAGCCCUAGGGGGUUGUGACAGGAAAUUGAACCUGCAGGAAAGGGCUACUAGCAGUAAAAAUUUCAAGUGACAAUAACAUCAGAACUAUGUUGCGAAGCUAGUUUUUCUUAGCGGUGGGUGGUGAUUUUAAAUGAGCUGUUCUUCAGCCCUUCCUGGUAUAGCCAGAUAGAUGGCUGUUGUUGAAGUAGAGGGGAGGAAUGACCAACCAUCCUCUUGGAGAGGUAAACUUGAUCCAAUGCUCAUUUAUACUGCCAAUAAAGAUCCUGGUCAGCUAAUAGUCUAAUACUUGAGUGGAAUGUUGAAUAUAUUAAUGUAGAUUGGUUCUUGUUCUCCUUCCUCGAGGCAUGUUGAAUAUAUCAAUGUAGAUUGGUUCUUGUAAGAAUGAAUGCUAACAUAAUUGUUUGGUUGUGUUCUCUUUGUUCCCCUCUGCAGUGAGGUGGUGCAGGAGCCGCAGGGCUCUACAUGACAGAGCACUGGAUCGCCGUCAGGCUCCACAGUGAAGAACUGACCCAGUAGAGGGCACCAAUACUGGGGUAGAGCAGUCUGGAAGGAGGGCAGGCUGCCCAGAGGACCAGAGAGCAGAUGUAGCCUACAGAGGAGAGAGAAGGGAGCCUUGGCCCCGCUAGAAAAAGAAGAGGGGUGGUUCUAUGAGGCUCUGUAUUAGAAUCUGGAUGAGGGGAGAAGAUUCUGGAAUGUGAAGCUAUGACACAUUACUGUGAAGCUAUGACACAUUACUGUGAAGCUAUGACACUUUAUUGUGAAGCUAUGACACUUUAUUGUGAAGCUAUGACACUACUGUGAAGCUAUGACACUACUGUGAAGCUAUGACACUACUGUGAAGCUAUGACACUUUACUGUGAAGCUAUGACACUUUACUGUGAAGCUAUGACACUACUGUGAAGCUAUGACACUUCAAAUCAAAUCAAAUCAAACCACUUUAUUGUGAAGCUAUGACACUUUACUGUGAAGCUAUGACACUUUACUGUGAAGCUAUGACACUACUGUGAAGCUAUGACACUUUAUUGUGAAGCUAUGACACUUUACUGUGAAGCUAUGACACUACUGUGAAGCUAUGACACUUUACUGUGAAGCUAUGACACUUUACUGUGAAGCUAUGACACUUUACUGUGAAGCUAUGACACUUUACUGUGAAGCUAUGCUUGCGAUGUCUAUGUUUGACUGUGGUGUUUUGAUACCGUACUGCUUAUUCACUGCUAGGCACUUUUAUAUUGUUUUGUAAUGUGAACAGUUUCCAAGACCUUCUACAGUUUGUAGUAAGUGAAACUUCAUUGUUAUGGAAAUGUACUAUGACAAUGACCACCCAGGCUGUAACCAGCUGUGAAAUUGGUUUUAAAUGUCCCUUUAAUUCUUUAAUNNNNNNNNNNNNNNNNNNNNNNNNNCUUGGUUGCUUUUACCAACAUUGUUAACAUUUGCAAGGCAGCCCCCCCCCACACCCCCUUUCAUAAACACGUAGUUGUUAAUUAUACUCUUUAACAGAUACAGUCUGUGUCCAUGUCGUUUUGUCUUUAUGGUUUUAAAUAUCAGGGUAAAUGAUGCUAUGUGCUUGUGAAAUCAGACGCCCCCCUAAAGGUGAAUCCUGUUUCUUUUGGCUCGAGUCCUCUGCUGCUCGCCACGUCGUUCAACACACACACACCACAACACACACACACACACGCACACACACCACACACACACACACACACACACACACACACGCACGUAAACACACCAAUCCCUGGCUAACCCAGCCUAUGUUGCCUAAAGAUAUGAAAUGCUAAUGUGAACUG
rnacentral:lncRNA from 1 species